rnacentral:ncRNA from 1 species
CAUUGUUCUCAGGGCGGGGUGUAAUUCCCCACCGGCGGUAAAGGCGGCGACGCCAAGCCCGCGAGCGCGCCACGAAAGUGGCGGUCAGCAGAUCCGGUGUAAUUCCGGAGCCGACGGUCAUAGUCCGGAUGGAAGAGAACGGGA